UUUACUGCGCAUGUCCACCGGAAAUUUAGAAAGGCAGUCCCUAGAGUCACACUUUUCAGUAACUUUCAAAAACAUUCAGCCUCCCAAAGUUUUAUGGUAGAAAGAUACAUGUAUUAUACUGAUUUACACCAAAUUUCAAACCAUUUGGCCAACGUUUACUAUUUUUCAAAAAUCAUAGCUUCCAGUCGUGCAAAACUGCCGAAUCUGGUAGACUGUGGGAAAACACCCAUAUCUCGUAAACCACUUGGAGUUUUUCACUCUACUUUUUUUUAAAUAAAACUAGACGCAGAAAGGUUUUCAACAGUGUAAGUCUCGAAUCUAGGAGAUUUCUGAGUCAAAACAGUUUAUUCGUUAAAGUUGAGGCAGAGCAGAAUGAUAAACUGUAGGAGUCUGAAAAUUUCUACUUUGUAAUUGUUUUGAGGAUUUUAAAGUUUUGGUGGAUUAAUACACCAUGUUAUGUCAUGAAAAUACUACUAGAAAAUUUUAUAUUUAUUUCCAAGCUUACGUGAAUAUUUGGGAAUUUACUUACAAGGAAAAAGAUUUCGAGUUCAUAGGAUUAUUUUUUUUAAGUCAUUUGACUAUUGUGAUAAAUCGUGAAAAUGUAUUAUGUGGAAAUUGAUUAUUGCAAAGUAUGAAUGACUAUUUGAUGUUUAUGAAUGCUAUUUACCUAGGAUUGAGAGUCUUUUAAUUGGAUAAGAUAUCUAAUUAAAUUGAGAGGUCCAAUUGGGUAAAUAGUAGAUAGGUUAUAAGAUGAGAUUAAGCAUAUGAUGAAAGCAUAAGUAUUGAGAUAUUAGUUAGAUGAAAUUCUAACUAGAGUUUAUUUUGUCACAUGACAAUCUAAACCACGUGCGCCACCAAAGGUUCGAGUGACGGCCGGCGUUAGUACGACUCUGAGCAUUACGUCAUCGACCCCUGAGACAGGUCUGGCUUGGCGCGAGGAUGGGUGAAAGCUGUUGGAAUUGUCAGUUGGCUGUGUCUUUCCUAUGUCUCAUAUUUAUCCUUAUAAGCUUUGACUCUAUAAGAAUUUGAACUCCCUGCUAUAUGUCUUCACACAUAUAGUAACGCAUCUCGCUGCAUAACUCUGAUGAAACUCUUUAUUUAAUUUGCUUAUGUCUGUAAUAUCCCUUAAGGGAAAUACUUCUCAGACCCUUGCUAAGUUUCAAUGGCUUAAUCAUGUUUACCCAA